rnacentral:tRNA from 1 species
UUUGAGGUGACAGAUAUAUGUGAUAGGUUUAAAAUUUAUUAAUGGCUAUGCCCCUCAAAA